GGGUCGAAGGGGGCACAGCGAAUCCCUCCGGCAGAACCGCCAGGGCUUCCUCUGGACCCCCCGCUCCUGCCUGAAGCCCGGUCCUCCUCGGCUGUCCUGUCCCCUCGGGAGUCCAUCAACCGGGAGGACGGACUCGUGUCCCAGGAGAGGGGACCAGAAGUCCACACCAUGCCCAGACUGUCACAAACCAUCACCCCUCCCAAGCGUUCUCCCAAGGGCCCCUUCCUCUUUCCUGAAAGCCAGUU